rnacentral:misc_RNA from 1 species
AAGGAUCAUUAGUGAUGAAGUGGUGCCAUGGGUGCAUCAUACCGUCCGGUAGGUAGGUAUAUAUGGAUCAAAUGAAUCCAUAUACAGAGAGAGAGACCCUUGUGUGCAUCUAUCGAAAACGUGCUUUGGGAAGUGAAUCUUUCAUGAAGCCCCAUGAAGGUUCCUUCCCAGAGUUUUGUCUCACUGAUGCUUUAACUUUCAGGCUGAGAAUAAAAAAUCGUAAAUGAAAUCCAAUACAACUUUCAACAACGGAUCUCUUGGCUCUC